ACAGAGGGUGCAAACGUUGUUCGGAAUUACUGGGCGUAAAGCGCGUGUAGGCGGUUAUGCAAGUCGGGUGUGAAAGCCCGGAGCUCAACUCCGGAAGUGCAUUCGAUACUGCGUAGCUAGAGUACUGGAGAGGAUGGUGGAACUCUCGGUGUAGAGGUGAAAUUCGUAGAUAUCGAGAAGAACACCGGUGGCGAAGGCGGCCAUCUGGACAGAUACUGACGCUGAGACGCGAAAGCGUGGGGAGCAAACAGGA
rnacentral:rRNA from 1 species